rnacentral:rRNA from 1 species
UACGGGGGGGGCAAGCGUUGUUCGGAAUUACUGGGCGUAAAGGGCUCGUAGGCGGCCAACUAAGUCGGAUGUGAAAUCCCCAGGCUCAACCUGGGAACUGCAUCCGAUACUGGAAGGCUUGAAUCCGGGAGAGGGAUGCGGAAUUCCAGGUGUAGCGGUGAAAUGCGCAGAUAUCAGGAGGAACACCGGUGGCGAAGGCGGUUCUCUGGGAAUGUCCUGACGCUGAGGAGCGAAAGUGUGGGGAGCGAACAGG